UCCCAAGGCUAAAUACUCCCUAGUGAUCGAUAGUGAACCAGUACCGUGAGGGAAAGGUGAAAAGCACCCCGGAAGGGGAGUGAAAGAGAUCCUGAAACCGUGUGCCUACAAAUAGUCAGAGCCCGUUAACGGGUGAUGGCGUGCCUUUUGUAGAAUGAACCGGCGAGUUACGAUCCCGUGCGAGGUUAAGCUGAAGAGGCGGAGCCGCAGCGAAAGCGAGUCUGAAUAGGGCGUUUAGUACGUGGUCGUAGACCCGAAACCAGGUGAUCUACCCAUGUCCAGGGUGAAGUUCAGGUAACACUGAAUGGAGGCCCGAACCCACGCACGUUGAAAAGUGCGGGGAUGAGGUGUGGGUAGCGGAGAAAUUCCAAUCGAACCUGGAGAUAGCUGGUUCUCCCCGAAAUAGCUUUAGGGCUAGCCUUAAGUGUAAGAGUCUUGGAGGUAGAGCACUGAUUGGACUAGGGGUCCUCAUCG
rnacentral:rRNA from 1 species